CUGGUUGAUCCUGCCAGUAGUCAUACGCCUCGUCUCAAAGAUUAAGCCAUGCACGUCUAAGUAAAAGCAACCUUUACUGUGAAACUGCGAAUGGCUCAUUAUAUCAGUUAUAGUCUACUUGAUAGUACCUUACUACUUGGAUACCCGUAGUAAUUCUAGAGCUAAUACAUGCAUACAAGCCCAACCUCUGGACGGGCCGCGUUUAUUAGAAUUAAACCAAUAUACCUGGUGAAUCAUAAUAACUGUGCGGAUCGCAUGGGUUGCCAUCCCGGCGACAAAUCAAUCGAGUUUCUGCCCUAUCAGCUUUGGAUGGUAGGGUAUUGGCCUACCAUGGCGUUAACGGGUAACGGAGAAUUAGGGUUCGAUUCCGGAGAGGGAGCCUGAGAAACGGCUACCACAUCCAAGGAAGGCAGCAGGCGGCGUAAAUUACCCAAUCCUGACACAGGGAGGUAGUGACAAUAAAUAAAUGCCGGGCUUUUUUAAGUCUGGCAAUUGGAAUGAGAACAAUUUAAAUCCCUUAACGAGUAUCAAUU
rnacentral:rRNA from 1 species